rnacentral:rRNA from 1 species
UACAGAGGGUGCGAGCGUUGUUCGGAAUUAUUGGGCGUAAAGGGCGCGUAGGCGGUGCGGUAAGUCACCUGUGAAAUCUCCUGGCUCAACUGGGAGCUUGCAGGCGAAACUGCCGUGCUGGAGUGUGGGAGAGGUGCGUGGAAUUCCCGGUGUAGCGGUGAAAUGCGUAGAUAUCUGGAGGAACACCGGUGGCGAAGGCGGCAUCCUGGACCGGCACUGACGCUGAGGAGCGAAAGCCAGGGGAGCAAACGGG